CCUACGGGAGGCAGCAGUGAGGAAUAUUGGUCAAUGGCCGUAAGGCUGAACCAGCCAAGUCGCGUGAGGGAAGAAGGAUCUAUGGUUUGUAAACUUCUUUUAUAGGGGAAUAAAGGUAUCCACGUGUGGAUAUUUGCAUGUACCCUAUGAAUAAGCAUCGGCUAACUCCGUGCCAGCAGCCGCGGUAAUACGGAGGAUGCGAGCGUUAUCCGGAUUGAUUGGGUUUAAAGGGUGCUUAGGUUGUAUUUUAAGUCAGCGGUUAAAAUAUGUGGCUCAACCAUAGAAUUGCCGUUGAAACUGGAAGCCUUGAGUGUGUUUGAGGUAGGCGGAAUGCGUGGUGUAGCGGUGAAAUGCAUAGAUAUCACGCAGAACUCCGAUUGCGAAGGCAGCUUACUAAGCCAUAACUGACACUGAAGCACGAAAGCGUGGGGAUCAAACAGGAUUAGAUACCCCAGUAGUC
rnacentral:rRNA from 1 species